CAGCUCAGCCGACCGCCUGUUACGGCGCCCGCGCUUCCGAUUGGCGCGCUGGGCGGGCGACCGCGGGCGGAAGCGGUAGAGGUGGGAAGGCGGGGCCGCGGCCAGGAGGCUCGACGCCAGGAUGCUCUCGCCUGGGACUGGUCCUCGCGAGGCCUUUUGUGACUAAGGCCCGGUGUUGGGGCGAGGCUCACGAGCGCUUUCGCUGGUCCGGCAUCCAGGCAAACUUACUGAACCAGUACUAGUCAAACUCUGAAGAUCUCAAGGACUUGCUCUGUUUCGUGCUUGCAUCUGUAAUGCCUACUGAAAUAGCCUCCAGAUGAAAACUCAGCUCAGCUGACCCCUUUAUUUCUGCUUCGUGAUUCACUGAGUAGAGGACCCAGUCACACCAUGCCGGACGUCAGAACUACGGAAUUGUUGCAGGACAGAAGACAAAAUCCAGUGCUUGGUGGAGAGACCUUUAUCAUUUGAGGGUGAGCUGGGGUAGGAAAAUCACUUGGUGAUUUUCCAAGAAUUGUUAAAUAGCAAUAACAAUUCUUGGGAAGGUCCGUACUAGCUUUCUAGGGGAAAAAGAGGGACAGGAGGUUCUCUUCUCAGACAUUGUCCCCUGACAUCCUCUGCAGCAUCUGACCUCUGACUGAAGGAUGCAGUGGAGGUCCAGAGUCUGGGCCAGAUGUGUCCUAUUCUGGUGGGAGCAGUUAAUCAAGCAUAGUUAAAUGACUGAUUAUCUGUGGUGUCAUUUCUACUGGAUUCCAUUUCUGAAGAUGGACUUCUGGGUUAUCAAAAGAAGGCAUAGUAAAACUCACAA